rnacentral:rRNA from 1 species
ACACAUGCAAGUCGAGCGGUAGCACAGAGAGCUUGCUCUCGGGUGACGAGCGGCGGACGGGUGAGUAAUGUCUGGGAAACUGCCUGAUGGAGGGGGAUAACUACUGGAAACGGUAGCUAAUACCGCAUAAUGUCGCAAGACCAAAGUGGGGGACCUUCGGGCCUCAUGCCAUCAGAUGUGCCCAGAUGGGAUUAGCUAGUAGGUGGGGUAACGGCUCACCUAGGCGACGAUCCCUAGCUGGUCUGAGAGGAUGACCAGCCACACUGGAACUGAGACACGGUCCAGACUCCUACGGGAGGCAGCAGUGGGGAAUAUUGCACAAUGGGCGCAAGCCUGAUGCAGCCAUGCCGCGUGUGUGAAGAAGGCCUUCGGGUUGUAAAGCACUUUCAGCGGGGAGGAAGGCGUUAAGGUUAAUAACCUUGACGAUUGACGUUACCCGCAGAAGAAGCACCGGCUAACUCCGUGCCAGCAGCCGCGGUAAUACGGAGGGUGCAAGCGUUAAUCGGAAUUACUGGGCGUAAAGCGCACGCAGGCGGUCUGUCAAGUCGGAUGUGAAAUCCCCGGGCUCAACCUGGGAACUGCAUUCGAAACUGGCAGGCUAGAGUCUUGUAGAGGGGGGUAGAAUUCCAGGUGUAGCGGUGAAAUGCGUAGAGAUCUGGAGGAAUACCGGUGGCGAAGGCGGCCCCCUGGACAAAGACUGACGCUCAGGUGCGAAAGCGUGGGGAGCAAACAGGAUUAGAUACCCUGGUAGUCCACGCCGUAAACGAUGUCGAUUUGGAGGUUGUGCCCUUGAGGCGUGGCUUCCGGAGCUAACGCGUUAAAUCGACCGCCUGGGGAGUACGGCCGCAAGGUUAAAACUCAAAUGAAUUGACGGGGGCCCGCACAAGCGGUGGAGCAUGUGGUUUAAUUCGAUGCAACGCGAAGAACCUUACCUGGUCUUGACAUCCACAGAACUUUCCAGAGAUGGAUUGGUGCCUUCGGGAACUGUGAGACAGGUGCUGCAUGGCUGUCCUCAGCUCGUGUUGUGAAAUGUUGGGUUAAGUCCCGCAACGAGCGCAACCCUUAUCCUUUGUUGCC